CUGAUUAAGUUUAUUGUGCUUUCAAUUAAAGAAAAGGGUGGCCCCGGGAGGAGAGGGAGUUGAGAGAGAUACGAGCUUUCCACUUCAGCUCCCGACUUCCCCAGCUGGAGAGAGGCAGGGCUCUGUGCUGCUCUGCUGUGCUGUUGGAGGGGUUUUUCCUGUCGAUCUUAUCCAACCUGUGUGAUGAGCGAGCAGGCACCCUGUUCUGGAGGCAAACAGAAGAAAAGGCGGGAAGAAAAGGCCGUUUUUGGAAUUCUGUGCUAAUUACAACGUCAGGACAGAAGACCACAAAAGGGGUAAUUUAUAAUGAACAAAAUGUAUUUGGAUCAUGAUUCUGGAGACUGGGAAGUCCAAGAGCAUGAUGCUGGCAUCUGGUGAGGGCCUUCAUGCUAUGUUAAUCCACAGCAGAAGAUGGAAGGGCAAGAGGGUGCCCCAGAGAGCAAUGGAGGGGGCUAAAUUAUCCUUUCGUCAGGAACCCACUCCCGUGAGAACCCACUCCCAUGAUACUCCCAAGAUAACAACAAUUUAUCCAUUCAUAAAGGCAGAGCUUUCAUGAUCUAAUCACCUCUUCAAGGUUCCAUUGCUCAACACUGUAGCAUUGGGGAUUAAGUUUCAAACACAUGAAAUUUGGGGGAUACAUUCAAACCAUGGCAAGCACAUAGUGGAUGGGGCUUUCUACAAGCCAGGAAGAGCACCAGGAACCAAACCAAUGGGCACAUUGACCUUAGACUUCCAGCCUCUAGAACUGUGAGAAAAUAAAUUUACGCUGUUUA
rnacentral:lncRNA from 10 species